CAGGCUUAACACCAUCUUGGAUUUGAAUUCCACAAAAGGGAAUGCACACACACAUCUCGCUAUGCAUGUAAGAGACUGCAAGUCGCAAGAUAAAUGCACACCCCUGUUUAAAACACACAACAGUCCUUUAUGAGCACAAAGAUCAAACGACAAGAC
rnacentral:lncRNA from 1 species